rnacentral:rRNA from 1 species
AAUGAACGUUGGCGGCGGGGAUUAGGCAUGCAAGUCGAGCGAGAAGUUUUCCUUCGGGAGAACAGUAGAGCGGCGAACUGGUGAGUAACAGGUGGGUAACGUGCCCUGAAGCGGGGAAUAACCCGGGGAAACCCGGGCUAAUACCGCAUGUGGCCUUAAGGUUCAUGGACCUAAAGGUUAAAGAUUUCGGUCACUCCGGGAUCGGCCCGUCUCCGAUUAGCUUGUUGGUGGGGUAACGGCCCACCAAGGCAACUAUCGGUAGCUGGUCUGAGAGGAUGGUCAGCCACACUGGGACUGAGAUACGGCCCAGACUCCUACGGGGGGCAGCAGUCUAGAGGCUUCGGCAAUGGACGAAAGUCUGACCGAGCGACGCCGCGUGCGGGAUUGAAGGCGUUUUCGUCGUAAACCGCUGUGUAAGGGGAAGAAUGCCCGUAUGGUGAAUACGGGAGCGACGGUACCCUUACAGAAAGCUCCGGCUAACUACGUGCCAGCAGCCGCGGUAAUACGUAGGGAGCGAGCGUUGUUCGGAUUUACUGGGUAUAAAGGGUCCGUAGGUGGUCGCGCAAGUCUGGUGUGAAAUCUUCGUCGCUCAACGGGAAGAGGUCACUGGAAACUGCGUGACUUGAGUAUGGUAGAGGCUAGCGGAAUUCCGGGUGUAGCGGUGGAAUGUGUAGAUAUCAGGAAGAACACCGGUGGCGAAGGCGGCUCGCUGGGCCAAUACUGACGCUGAAACACGAAAGCGUGGGGAGCAAACGGGAUUAGAUACCCCGGUAGUCCACGCCGUAAACGGUGCACACUAGGGUGUAGGGGGAUAUCGACCCCCUCUGUGCCGACGUUAACACAUUAAGUGCACCGCCUGGGGAGUACGGCCGCAAGGUUGAAACUCAAAGGAAUUGACGGGGGCCCGCACAAGCGGUGGAGGAUGUUGUUUAAUUCGAUGCAACGCGAAGAACCUUACCUGGGCUUAAACUUGUAGGUAAACCCCUGGAAACAGGGGCUGUGGCAACACGACCUAUGAGAGGUGCUGCAUGGCUGUCGUCAGCUCGUGUCGUGAGAUGUUGGGUUAAGUCCCGCAACGAGCGCAACCCUUGUCGCUAGUUACCAGCGCGUUAUGGCGGGGACUCUAGCGAGACUGCCGGUGGUAAACCGGAGGAAGGUGGGGAUGACGUCAAGUCCUCAUGGCCCUUAUGUCCAGGGCUACAAACGUCCUACAAUGGUCGGGACAACGGGUCGCAAGUUCGCGAGAGCGAGCAAAUCCCAUAAACCGUGGCUCAGUUCAGAUCGUAGGCUGCAACUCGCCUACGUGAAGGAGGAAUCGCUAGUAAUCGCAGGUCAGCAUACUGCGGUGAAUACGUUCCCGGGCCUUGUACACACCGCCCGUCACACCACGAAAGUCGGUUGAUCCAGAAGUCGCCCUCGCAACCCGCAAGGGAGCCAAGCGCCGAAGGAACAGCCGGUAAUUGGGGUGAAGUCGU